UACGUAGGGGGCAAGCGUUGUCCGGAUUUAUUGGGCGUAAAGAGCGUGUAGGCGGCCAGGUAGGUCUGCUGUGAAAACUCGAGGCUUAACCUCGAGCUGUCGGCGGAAACCAUCUGGCUAGAGUCCGGGAGAGGAGAGUGGAAUUCCUGGUGUAGCGGUGAAUGCGCAGAUAUCAGGAAGAACACCCGUGGCGAAAGCGGCUCUCUGGAACGGUACUGACGCUGAGACGCGAAAGCGUGGGGGAGC
rnacentral:rRNA from 1 species